rnacentral:rRNA from 1 species
GAUGAACGCUAGCUACAGGCUUAACACAUGCAAGUCGAGGGGUAACGAGAGGAAAGCUUGCUUUCCUUGUCGACGACCGGCGCACGGGUGAGUAACGCGUAUCCAACCUGCCCCCAACUAGGGAAUAACCUUGCGAAAGUAAGACUAAUGCCCUAUAAUUUCCUCAGAUGUCAUCUGACGAGGAAUAAAGAUUUAUCGGUUGUGGAUGGGGAUGCGUCUGAUUAGCUUGUUGGCGGGGUAACGGCCCACCAAGGCAACGAUCAGUAGGGGUUCUGAGAGGAAGGUACCCCACAUUGGAACUGAGACACGGUCCAAACUCCUACGGGAGGCAGCAGUGAGGAAUAUUGGUCAAUGGGCGGAAGCCUGAACCAGCCAAGUAGCGUGCAGGAUGACGGCCCUAUGGGUUGUAAACUGCUUUUAUACAGGAAUAAAGUUAGCCACGUGUGGUUAUUUGUAGGUACUGUAUGAAUAAGGACCGGCUAAUUCCGUGCCAGCCGCCGCUGUAA